rnacentral:rRNA from 1 species
GACGAACGCUGGCGGCGUGCCUAACACAUGCAAGUCGAGCGGAGAUAAUUAAAAGCUUGCUUUUGAUUAUCUUAGCGGCGGACGGGUGAGUAACGCGUGGGCAACCUGCCUGUUACAGGGGGAUAACACAGGGAAACUUGUGCUAAUACCGCAUAACACAACGAGGUAGCAUUACCUUGUUGUCAAGGGAGCAAUCCGGUAAUAGAUGGGCCCGCGUCCAAUUAGCUAGUUGGAGGUGUAACGGACCACCAAGGCGACGAUUGGUAGCCGAACUGAGAGGUUGAUCGGCCACAUUGGGACUGAGACACGGCCCAGACUCCUACGGGAGGCAGCAGUGGGGAAUAUUGCACAAUGGGGGAAACCCUGAUGCAGCAACGCCGCGUGAAGGAUGAAGGUUUUCGGGUUGUAAACUUCUUUAGUCAGGGACGAAAAAAAUGACGGUACCUGAAGAAUAAGCCACGGCUAACUACGUGCCAGCCGCCGCCGUAAAAC